CCUUAGGAGCAGGAGGCCGAGCAGCCAGGGCUGCUUUCCCAUCGCUGUCUCAGCUGCUCCCGCUGGCCUUCUGCUCAGGCUGGUGUCUCCUUGGCCGGCUCCCUGCUUCUCAGCUCGUGCCUCCAGCCUUCUGGACUCUAGGAUCACAUGUGGCUGCCCACCUCGGACAGGGUUGACUAGAGGUGAAGAGGUGCCAUGCACUCCAGGAGAAGAGCUGACUGGAUCCUAUACUCAAAGAAUGGGCCGCGGAUCCCUGCCUGUCCACUGUUUGUUACUGGGCUGGGAAGCUGCAAGACCCGAUGCUGGGGAACUUCCAGUCUAUGCUGAGUAAGAGUGAUGAGAGCAGACAUCCUGCCUUUGUUCCUAAUCUUAGGAGGAAAGCAUUCAAUCUUUCACAGGUGCCUGCCAAAUGCUCCAAACAGCAUCUCCAUCUGCCACUGAUACUUCAAGAACCACUGGAUCUGCUGGGUCAUAUGGUCUAAGUGACAGAGCGGCUUGCACAACAGCCUGAACCUGUUGCAGAGCAUUCUCUUCUUCUGGGCCCCACUCAAAACAAGCAGCUUUUGGAGUUACUCAGUCACUCAGUGAAUGGAUCAGAUUAGCAAACCCAGAUGAGGAAUAUAUUGCCUCCAAAAUCCAGAGAGACACACUAGGCAUUGUGCCUUUUUGUUGAUAUUGCUGUAGGAGAGGCCAGAUUCAACAACUUAGCCUUCAUUUUAGAACUAAUAUAUUGGAAUGCCCCACUCUACCAGAUCCUUAGAAAUGUCACUGAGGUAGAAGGCCCCUGAAUUUUUUUUUUUUUUUUUUUUUGAGAUGCAGUCUCACUCUGUCGCCCAGGCUGGAGUACAGUGGCCUAAUCUUGGCUCACUGCAAGCUUCGCCUCCCGGGUUCAAGCCAUUCUCCUGCCUCAGCCUCCUGAGUAGCUGGGACUACAGGUGCCCACCACCACGCACAGCUACUGUUUUGUAUUUUUAGUAGAGACGGGGUUUCACCAUGUUAGCCAGGAUGGUCUUGAUUUCCUGACCUCAUGAUCUGCCCGCCUCAGCCUCCCAAAGUGCUGGGAUUACAGGCGUAAGCCACCGCACCUGGCCGGCCCCUGAAUUUUUAUUGGAUUUAUUUCUUACCUCCCGGCAUGUAAAUGUCUUUUCAAUAAAUCUAGAGUAGUUACAUUUCUUGCUCACUAGGUCCAGUCAGUGUAAUGUCAUCAAGGUAAUGCACCAGUAUGAUAUCUUGUGGAAGGGAAACACAGUCAAGAUCCUGUGAACUAAAUUAUAACACAGGACUUGAGAGUUGAUAUAGCCCUGAGGUAGGACAGUGAAGAUGUAUUGCUGGCUUUGCUAGCUGAAAGCAAACUGCUUCUGGUGGAAAGCAUUUGCCAGUUAAAUAGCUGGUACAAGGUACCAGGGGUUGUGUUCAUUUGCUCAAGCUGUAAAACUCCAUCUUAUAUAGCAGCUAAAAUUAGAUUCACCCCCUGAUUAAGCUUAUAAUAAUCCACCAUUAUUCUCCAAGAUCCAUCUGUCUUCUGUGCAGGCCAAAUAGGCAAGUUGAAUGGGGAUAUGGUGGGAAUCACCAUCUCUGCAUCUUCCAGGUCCUUGACGGUGGCACCAACCUGUGCAAUCCUUCCAGGGAUAUAGACACAGUAUUGCUUUUGAUUAACUAUUUUUCUAUGUGGAGGAAGCUCUAAUGGCUUCCAAUUGGCCUUUUCCACCAUAUUAGCCCUCAUAUCAUAGGUCAGGUGAGCAAUGUAAGGAUUCUGCCUGUGACCGAGUAUGUCUACUCCAAUUAUGCAUUCUGGAACUGGAGAAAUAGCCCAAGAUGGGUUCUGAGGCUCGCUGGAUCCACUGUGAAACUCAGCUGAGCUGAAACUCCAUUGAUCACCUGACUUCCAUAAGUCCCUACUUUGACUGGUGGGCCUCAGUGAUGUUUUGGGUCUCCUGGCAUUGGUGAUAUCAGCUCAGCACCAGUGUCCAGUAGUCCCCUAGAGGUCUGAUUAUUUUCUUUUUCCCAAUGCACAGCUACCCUGGUAAAAGGCCAUAGGUCUCUUUUGGAAAGUUGGGAGAAAGAUUAAUAGUACAAAUUUGGGGGAAUUGGCUCAAGGAGUUCAAGGGUCGAUAAACUGGCUCAAGUCUGGGAAUUGAUUGAGGGGCCAAGAUUCUCUGUUUUUGUGAUUCAGCUUAGACUUUUGGUUACUUGACCUAGAACUUUUAUGCUUAUACAGAUGAAGUAAGAAUUUAUUAUGCUCCUUGUCUAUUUCACUUCUGGGGCCGCCAUGGUCAACUGUUAACCAACACAUAAGUCUACUUACAACAUAAAUCUACUUAUGGUAUUGGUUAGCAGCUGACCAUGGUGUUCCUAGAAGUGAAAUAGACUAUUCUGAUUGCUGCUGUGACUUUGCUGUACAUCAUGAUAACCACAUCCUCCUUGCCUGUGGCAGCUGAAUAUAUACCUUGUCCGCUGCCACCCUGAGAUCCAGUUACUCCAUUUGAUGUAGGUUUCCCAAUCAGUGACCACAGUUCCCACUGUAAGUUCUGGCCUACAAAGAAGAGUGAUCACAGAGCUCUUCAAAGACACUGGGGCUCUCCUCAUAAAUUUACUUCUCACAGUCAUGGUGAAAGGUGUGUGUUUUGGACCGUUUCAGGGUCUGUGAGCAGGCCUUAAAUGACAAAUUUAUUUUAACGUUCCAAUCUCUCUAAGCCUUUGAGUGUAGCAAGAUAGUUCUGGUAUUUCCAGCUCACUCACUCUGGGCCACCUUUUAGUCCUCAUUUUAGCCAACCAACCAACCAAACUUUAAAGCCCUUUCUAACUCCCUGAGCUGAAAUAUUAAAUGCAGAAUCUCUUCUUAGUGGGCCCAUAUCAAUAAAUUUGUCCUCAUCCAACUUUAUGUUCCUUCAAGCAUUAUCCCACAACCUUAAUGUCUGUUUCCAUACAUAUUCCCCAGAUUCCUGUUUGUGUAAAUUAGAAAACUCAAGUAGCUCCUUUAAAGUGUAGCACAUCUCAUGAGUCAUACUCCAUACCCUACCUUUAGGAUCCUAUUGGGGCUUAAGUCUAGUUACAGGUUUAGAAACAAAGAAGUGUCUUGGGGGUGGACCCUGAGGACAAUCUGCUUGUCUUGCAGGGCAACUGCCUCGAGGCAGCCAUUGCAACUUCCUCAAACAAGACAGAGUUAAUUUCCUCUCACUGGGGUGGAGAGGCUUCUCAUACUGGGGACAGAAAGACUCCUUCUACUGACAAAGAAGUCUGAUCAAAAUUUAGGGUCUCAAUGUCCUCAGCUUCAUCAGGGUCCCAUUUCAACUUUCUACACAUCCCAUUUCAAAUUUAGGAUCUAGUUCCUUUCCAAUCAAUGCCUCAUUUAGCAGUGGGCACUCUGCAAGGCUUGGAAUUCAAUUUACAUUGUAAGUCAGCCUCUUGCAGGAUGAGAUUCUGGGUUUGGUUUUCAGCAAUCUCAGCUCUGAGGCUACAGGAGAUAAUGGUCUCUUUCAGGGCAGACAUAGAAGCUCUUAGGUCAUUAAUUCAGCAUUUGUGCUGGAAACUAAUAUCCCUGAGCUUAACUUUUUAUUUCCCCACUUCUUUGUCUAGCAACAUUAGCUGCAACCAGCCAAUGUCAUUACACUUCUAGUGUGACAAAAAUGUUGGAAAGUAUUAUAUACACACUCAGAUCCUUGCUUCUUAUAAGUGUUUGGUUAGGAGUAUUGAAGGAUGAUAUUUUGCCUAUCUCUGUUACCAGAUCACUCCAUGACCUAACAGUGCUCUCUUUACACAUGCAUACAUGUGUAAAGAGAUUUAUUAUAAAGAAUUGGCUCAUGAGAUUAUGGAGACUGGCAAGUCCAAAAUCUGCAGUGUGGGCUGGCAGGCUUGAGAUAGAGCAGGGGUCCAUCUUAGGGGCCUGCAGGCAUAGAAAUUAAAGGAAAUCUUGAGUUCCUUCAAGGGAAAUUUCAGGCACCAACCCAGCCCUGAGAAGUAAAUGAGUAACUUGAUAAACAAGCAGGUAAUAGUAGCUUAAAACAAUAGUCAAGGAAGUUAGAGUCAUAGGAUAUUUGACUAAAGAUAACAUCUUAACGUAUGUCCCUAAGUGCUUUUUCAGAAAUCUGGACCUCCACUAAAUGAAUCCACUGGCACAUAGACCUCUCAGAUAAGGGGGAAUGGAGGACUAAACUCUGACCACUGUUCUUUGUUCUGAAGUUCUUCCUGAGGUGCUGGGAGGAAGUCACACAAGUCAGACUUAGCAUAUCUUUCUACUCCCCUCAAAUUUUUAAACAAAGCUUCUCUUCCUUAACCAAUUGCAAAUCAGAAAAAUUUUGAAGCUAUUACCUAGAAGCCCUCACUUCAAGAUAUCCCCACUUUGUAGGCCAAACCAUUGUAUAACCUCCAUAUAUUGCUUUACAAUUUUGCCUGUAACUUCUGCUUUCCUGAAAUUUAUCCCCACCUUUAAAAAUUCUUGCUUGCAAGCCACUGGAUAGGUUGUGUCUUAAGCGUGAGCUGCCCAGUUGUCCUUGCCUGGUGUCCUAUAAAUAAAUGUUCUUCUUUCUCCUGCUGCAAAUCUCAGUGUGGGUGUUUGCCCUUACUGUGCUGAGAGAGUGGACCCCAGUUCAGUUCUGUAACAGGCUCAAGAUACAGGAGAGCCAGUGGUGCAGUUCCAGUCUGAAGGCCAGCAGGCAAGACUCAGAAGAGCCACUGGUGCGGAUGAAGUCUGAUGGCCAUCUGCCAGAGAAUUUUCUCUUGUUCAGGGAGGCUGAUCUUUUUGUUCUAUUUAAACUUUCAACUGAGUGGAUGAGGCCCACUCACAUUAUUGAGGGCAAUCUUCUUUACCCAAAAUUUACUGAUUUAAAUGUUAAACUCAUCCCAAAAUAAUCUGCAAGUGGACAAAUAAAAUUAACCACUACACAGACUUAAGAGUAACAAAAUACUAUGAUCAUAUCAAUAGAUGGAGAAAAAACACUGCUGGAUAGAAUUCAACAUUUAUGCAUAAUUUUUUUAAACCUAGGCAAACUAAGAAUAGUAAUGAAGUUCCUCAAUCUGAUAAAAGGCAUAUACUAGAAAACCUACAGCUAACAUCAUUCUUAACAGUCAAAGACUGAAUACUUUCUAAGUCUGGGAACUAGGCAAGGAUAUCUGCCUUCACUACUCCUAUUUGAUGGCAUAUUAAAAUGCUUGCAAAUGCAAUAAGGCAAGAAAAAGAAAUAAUAGGCAUCCAGAUUUGAAAGAAAAAUGUUACUACCUUUAUUAAGAGAUGAUAUGAUUGUCUAUAUAGAAAAUUCACUUUAAAAACUUUCUAGAACUAGUGUGUUGAACAAGGUCAUACCACUGUGAGACCAAAGAAAAUGACUGAGGUGAGCCUCAAUCAAUUUAGAGGUUUAUUUUGCUGGGAAAAGGAGAUGCAAGCCACAGUAGGAUCUGUGGCCCAAACUUUUUCCAAAGAAGAUUUUGAGGGCUUCAAUAUUUAAAAGGGAAAAUGUGAGCAGCAGGGGAAAGGGGAAAGAAAAAAAAAAGAGGGAGUGUAUGGCCACAUUCUUGUGAGGCUUUGAUUAGUCUCACUGAAUCCACAUGUUGUGCAUGAAAAGGAAGGAGCGUAAAGGGAACAGUCAAUUAUGUAUUCAUCUUGCACUUGGGAAACCUACACUUAACAUAAGAUAAACACAGAGUAGAGGUAAAAGUCAAAUAUGUAUUCAUGUUAGGGUGGGUUGGGGGAUGAUUUCUAGUCUCCUAUUUUCCUGUACUAGUAAGAAUAACCUGUUAAUUUACAUCGUCAGGAUGAGAGAGGCCACCUGUGGAGACAUUUGGCAUUCUAUCUGUAGUUAUAUUUUUAGUAAAAAAAGAAAAGACAGCUUUUAUUUGGGUAACUCACUUCCAAACUUAAUUUUUCUCUUUGGCAUAGGGAGUUUUGGGUCCCAAUAUUUUAUUUUCCUGUCACAGAACAUAAUAUCAAUAAACAAAAUCAAUUGCAUUUCUUUAUAAUAACACUGGGCAGUUGGAAACUGAUAUUUUAAAAGCAUUUACAAUAGCCUUCAAAAUGAAGUACUUAGGUAUAAGUAAAUUUGUCAAAAUAUGUGCAGCUUUUACAUGCUGAAAAAUCCAGAACAGCAAUGAAAGAGAUCGAAGAAGAUCUAAAUAGAGUGACAUACCAUGUUCACAGAUUGGAAGGCUUACUUAAGAUGCCAAUAAAUCCCAAAAGUGAUUUAUAGAUUUAGCACAUUCCCAAUUAAAAUAUCAGCAAGAUCCUUUGUACAUAUAGACAACUUAUUCUAAAAUGUGUAUGGAUGGGUUAAGGAACUAGAAUAGCCAAAAUCUUUAAAAAGAAGAACAAAGUUCAAGGACUCAUAUUACCUAAUUUUAAAACAUACGAUAAAACUCCAGUAGUCAAUACAGUGUAGUAUUGGCAAAUCAAUAGAUAUGUGCAUACAUGGAACAGAACAGAAACUCAAAAAAUAGGUUCACAAAAAUACGGCCAACGAAUUUUGACAAAGGUGCAAAGGCAGUUAGGUGAAGAAAGAACAAACUUUUCUCUAAAUGGUCCUAGAACAACUGAAUACCAUAUGUAAAAAAUAAAUAAAUAAGCCUUAACCUACACCCCACAUAAUAUUUAAAAAUUUACUCAAAUAGCAUCGUAGACCUACAUGUAAAACAUAAAACUAGCCUGUUAGGAACUGGGCUGCACAGCAGGAGGUGAGUGGCAGGCCAGCAAGCAUUACCAUCUGAGCUCUGCUCCUGUCAGAUCAGUGGUGGCAUUAGAUUCUCACAGGAGCUUGGAACCCAUUGUGAAUUGCACAUGCAAGGGAUCUAGGUUGCAUGCUCCUUAUAAGAAUCUAAUGCCUGAUGAUCUGAGGUGGAACAGUGUCAUCCUGAAACCAUCUCCUCUGUCAGUCCAUGGAAAAAAUUAUCUUUGACAAAACUGGUCCCUGGUGCCAAAAAUGUUGGGGACUGCUGAGACAAAGGAUUGUAUCCAGAAUGUACUCUACUCAAUUAAAAAAAAAAAAAAACUUUUAAGGAGCAAAACAUUUUAACAGACACUUCACCAAAAGAUAUAUGGAUAGCAAAUAAACUCAUGAACAGAUACUCAGUACCAUUAGCUAUUAAGGAAGUGCAUAUUAAAGCUACAAUGACACACCAUUACAUGCCUAUUAAAAUGGCAAAAUUUUAAAAAAAGAACUCAAUACCAAGUGUUGGUGAGGAUGAGGAGCAACUGGAGCUCUCAUGCAUACAUUUGUUGAUGGGAAUACAAAAUGAUACAAUCACUCUGGAAAAUAGUUGAGCAGUUGUUGUAAAGUUAACCAUAAACUUACAAUAUGACCCAGCAACCACACUCCUAGGUAUUUACUAUAGAGAAAUGAAAACUUCCAUUCACACAAUAAUUAGUUCAUGAAUGUUUAUACCAACAUUAUUUAUAAUUGCCAGAAAAGUGGAAAUGAUCCCAAUAUGUCUCAGUGGGUAAAUAGGCAAACAAACUUGUAUAUCCAUACAACAGAAAACU